AGCAGCCGCGGUAAUUCCAGCUCCAAUAGCGUAUAUUAAAGUUGUUGCAGUUAAAAAGCUCGUAGUUGAAUUUCGGGGUUAGUAGGUUGGGUCAUGCCUCUGGUAUGUACUGGUCUCACUGAUUCCUCCUUCCUUAUGAACCGUAAUGCCAUUAAUUUGGUGUUGCGGGGAAUUUGGACUGUUACUUUGAAAAAAUUAGAGUGUUUAAAGCAAGCUAACGCUUGAAUACAUUAGCAUGGAAUAAUGAAAUAGGACGUUCGAUCUUAUUUUGUUGGUUUCUAGGAUUGACGUAAUGAUUAAUAGGGAUAGUUGGGGGCAUUAGUAUUCAAUUGUCAGAGGUGAAAUUCUUGGAUUUAUUGAAGACUAACUACUGCGAAAGCAUUUGCCAAGGAUGUUUUCAUUAAUCAAGAACGAAAGUUAGGGGAUCGAAGACGAUCAGAUACCGUCGUAGUCUUAACCAUAAACUAUGCCGACUAGGGAUCGGAUGAUGUUAAUUUUUAAUUGACUCAUUCGGCGCCUU
rnacentral:rRNA from 1 species